ACAGAAAUCCUGGGUGGUCUUGGCACAGUUUGCACUAUGCAAAGUUGGGAGAGGGGAUGGUGCUGCAGUGGCAAUGUGAGAGCAGGGAAGCCAGGAAAAGGAGGCCAUGUGUCAGUGUAAGUGCAGGAAGGCUGGGAAAGGAUUUACUAGAUAAGAAGUCCUAACUUUCACAAAAGAUUAUAUGGAACAAAAAGAGCUGAACAGGAAGCCAGAGCAUUGCAAACCAAAGCAGAGACCCUCAGCAUCACAUCUAUUUCAGAUAUAUAAAUGGAGGAACGCUGAGGAAUCCACCCAACUCACCGAAAAGAAAUCUUACUUUUGCCAGAAAGAAAGAAUCAAGGGUGUCUAACCUUUUGGCUUGCCUGAGCCUCACUGAGUGAAAAGGAUAAUACAGUUAAUUUACGUAAAUUACAUAAUAAUGUUAAAAGUUUGUGAUCUUGUAGGGCUGUAUUACUUGUA